AACGAAACUUAGUUUAAUAAGGCAACAAUAGUGCAAAUCGGAGUGCAGAGUCCAACGUGACUGUAACAACAGUAGUAUGAGUUUGUAUAGUACAUUAAGACAAGUACUACAAUGCAUUGGAAAUACAAUGUUGA